UCAAUUGUGAGAUAUGUGGCAACCUCCAUUGGCUCGGUCUGUUCUUUUUGGUUUGGCCAUAUCCUGAGUCACCAUGGUAUCAGGUGUUUUACUCUUGUCUUUCCCUUUUCCCUGGAAGUUCUGCACCAUGCCGAGCAGCUUCUGGAGACCACCACCAAAAUUUUGAGUCCACCUCCAAAACUGAAUACAUCCAAGGACUGCUUCCAGACAAAAGGAAAGACACUUCUCUGACAGCAGCCAGAACCUGGGAAGGGCUCUACCUAACCACAGGAGACACCAUACCUUAGACAAACCAUAAUGAUGAAUUCUAGAAAUAAAAGCAUAUGGCUUCCAACAUAUCUCA